rnacentral:rRNA from 1 species
GAUGAACGCUGGCGGCGUGCCUAAUACAUGCAAGUCGAGCGAACGGACGAGAAGCUUGCUUCUCUGAUGUUAGCGGCGGACGGGUGAGUAACACGUGGAUAACCUACCUAUAAGACUGGGAUAACUUCGGGAAACCGUAGCUAAUACCGGAUAAUAUUUUGAACCGCAUGGUUCAAAAGUGAAAGACGGUCUUGCGGUCACUUAUAGAUGGAUCCGCGCUGCAUUAGCUAGUUGGUAAGGUAACGGCUUACCAAGGCAACGAUGCAUAGCCGACCUGAGAGGGUGAUCGGCCACACUGGGACUGAGACACGGUCCAGACUCCUACGGGAGGCAGCAGUAGGGAAUCUUCCGCAAUGGGCGAAAGCCUGACGGAGCCACGCCGCGUGAGUGAUGAAGGUCUUCGGGUCGUAAAACUCUGUUAUUAGGGACGAACAUAUGUGUAAGUAACUAUGCACAUCUUGACGGUACCUAAACAGAAAGCCACGGCUAACUACGUG